rnacentral:siRNA from 1 species
UGGUUAAGUCUAUUUGAUUCC